rnacentral:rRNA from 1 species
UCUUACGGCCACACCGCCCUGUGCACGCCCGCUCUCGUCUGAUCCUGGAAGCUAAGCAGCGUUUGUUCUGGUUAGUACUUGGAUGGGAGACCGCCUGGGAAUACCAGAUCCUGUAACUU